AUUGAACGCUGGCGGCAGGCCUAACACAUGCAAGUCGAGCGGAUGAAGGGAGCUUGCUUCUGGAUUCAGCGGGGGACGGGUGAGUAAUGCCUAGGAAUCUGCCUGGUAGUGGGUGAUAACGUCUGGAAACGGGCGCUAAUACCGCAUACGUCCUGAGGGAGAAAGUGGGGGAUCUUCGGAUCUCUCGCUAUAGGAUGAGCCUCGGUCGGAUUGGCUAGUUGGUGGGGUAAAGGCUUACUAUGGCGACGAUCCGUAACUGGUCUCAGAGGAUGAUCAGCCACACUGAAACUUAGACACGCUCCAGACUCCUACAGGAGGCAUCAGUGGGGAGUAUUGGACGAUGAGCGAAAGCCUGAUCCAGCCAUGCCGCGUGUGUGAAGAAGGUCUUCGGAUUGUAAAGCACUUUAAGUUGGGAGGAAGGGCAGUAAGUUAAUACCUUGCUGUUUUGGCGUUACCAACAGAAUAAGCACCGGCUAACUUCGUG
rnacentral:rRNA from 1 species